CAGGAAUAGGCUAUCGAGUACUCUUGUCAAAGAGGCAUCCAUUGCAUGUUCACCAUCUUGUUGCCAUCUGCAAUCCAAAGGUUAUAAAUGAGACACCCUUGACCAAUUACCCAAAACAUAUGGCCAAAACUUAAGAUCCACGCCACCAAGGACCUACGAACCAAGAGGACAAGUUGCCAAGAAAGGCAGAGGUGGU